UUUUUAGUGGGUGUGAGAAGACUCAGA
rnacentral:piRNA from 1 species